rnacentral:lncRNA from 1 species
UCAGUGGCGUAGCUUGCAUGUAUGCUCAGAUGCUCAAGCAUCCACAUCAUUUUGACAAAAAAAAAAAUUAAAAAAAAUAUAUAUAUAUAUAUAAUUGCAUAUGUUGUGUCUGAAUGUAAGGGUGAGGAUAUGUGAACAUCGUGCAAUCAUUUCUAAAGCAGUAUACGUGGCCUUUCCUUUAAGAUCAUUUAUAGUUUAUGUUAACAAGAUGGAUAAAAAGUCUACGUCUUAGCGCGUCGUCGGCAACGGCAAGCGCAGAGGAUGAUAAUACGUAGACCUGCAGACAUGUUUGGUCUGAGAUUGAACCAAGCGGAGCGAUGACAUAGCAACGUUACUAGUAAACAACAAACACAUCAUUGUCUGAUAUCGUUUCCUGUGACAAUAAAUACGACUUAAAUUUAUUAUGGAGUGUGAUCAUUUCUGGGCUAAUAAAUACGGCACGGGAUGUUUGCGCUUUUUCAUAGGACAUUUGCGCUUUUUUAUUUGGACACUUGCGCUUCAAAACAUAGGACAUUUGCGCUUUUUUUAAAAGGACAUUUGCGCUUUUGCAGUAUGUGGUUGUUAUGACUUCCCUCCUCUUUUCCGGGGUUAGGUCCGGCAGGAUUGUAAUUUCCUCAGACUUCCCAGUCAACACAAUAAAUACAAGGGGAAUAUAGUUCCCAUUUUUAAAUCCAUGACUCAGUCUGGUAUAAAAAAUUUGGGCAACAAUUAAUUGUUCCGUCCGUUUGUGAAUUACAGGUAUACGACUAUAGGUAAAAAGCGCAAAUGUCCGGUCAAUUUAAUACAGGUGAAUCAAAAUUUAACAGAGGCGGAUUUAGGGGGGGGGCUAGGGGCCCGGGCCCCCCUUCUUUGGAAAAAAAUUGUUUGCUUAUAUAGGGAAUCACUGAAGCGUGACUGGAGCGGGCCCCCUCAUAGGUCAGUCAGUGGGCCCCCACUUAUGAAAAUUUCUGGAUCCGCCACUGUUUAAAGCGCAAAUGUCCACAGUGUUUGAAGCGCAA